AGCAGAGUGCGGAGCUGCAACCUGGGAGCCGGACGUGUCCGCGAAGAUGGCGGGCCGGGUGAGUGGCGGCCGGGCAGCCCGGGCUCGCAGCGGAUCGCCCGAGGUCGCGACUGCUGCGAGGUCCACGAGGGCUCCGGGGAAGGGGCGCGAGGCUGAGCACCCAGGAACGCUGAAGGAAGGGAGGUCAGAGCAACGCUGGAGGCGAGACAGUGUAGCUGCGGCAGGGGAUUAGCUCUGCUCAGAAACUCUGUCCUCCCCGAGGGUUGUCUCUUCGUCCCCCGGGUCUCCAGUGCUUCCCUUGUCAUCCCCUGGGGCUCGUUUCUCUCGUCCUUCAAGCAUCUUGAGGGUAGUGGCCACUGGAGCCCCCCUCUGACGAGCGCUGUGUGCCCUCCACACUCCUCCGAGGGUUUCUGAGGUGGCACUGCCGGAUAACCGCGGGGUGUAGUCUGCUGCAGUCAGGGCGAGGGUGUGGGAACCCAUUUCUAGUUCUUCCUAAAUGAAUGUUAUGAAAAGAGGAGGGGAGGUCUGCAAAUUACUUUUACGGCUAACCUUAGACCAUCUCCUGGGGAGAAACAUAUCAGCUGUGAAGCAGCAAUGUCUUUCGUGCAGAUGGACUUGGGGUGUCACGUUUUGUUUUUCUAAAUGACAGUCGAUUCGAAUGCAGCAGGCUGUGUUGUAGUCUCAGGGAUUUACAUUUUACUUCCCCAUUAAGCUCGUAGGACGGCGGGGUAGGAUUGGGGUUGGCGAGGAGAGAUGGGGCCAGGUCACUGCUGUUAUUGCAGUAGGCAUCAGAGCUAAUAUCGCUGAUGGAUGGAUCCUGCCCAGAGAUUGCCCUGUUCGAAACCUGGGGACAUUAACUGCGUCAUUACAGACUAACGUUGUGCUUGACUGAUUCACUUACACCUGAAUAUUUGAAUAAGUUUGCAUACAUGUAUGCAUAUAUGUAAAUGUCCUGUCUAAAGAGAAUUGUAGGUCAUGAGAUUCUAAAGUCCCAAAGAGACGGUAGAGGUCAUCAGACUAGCUCCAUCUUUUUCUCUUCCUUUUUUCAUAAUCCCCCUUUUAUCUCAAGCUGACCCUUUUAACUAUUUCAGGGUCUGUUUUUGCCUCCUCAGGAGCCCCUCUCCUGAAUCAUCAGCCCUUCUGGAAUGCACUGGUCUCUUAAACCCUCCCUCUGCCCCCACAGACUUUUCCUCUAACCAUUUUUUUUCCCCCAGUGGCAAAGUCUGGUGAUUUUCUGUGUGUGUUGACUCUCAUUUGCCUACCACCUGCUACCUCCUGGGCCCACCACAGUCGGACUGAAAUGCAUCCCUAAAAUUCAUGCCCAUUUCCCAAUCCUUGUUACACGUGAUGUCUCAGAGCGUCUGACAGUGUUGCCCGUCUCCUCCUUAAUGGAAGACAUUCUUCCAUGGCUUCAGUAAUGCUGGGCUAAUGUUUUGACUCAUCUCUCUUUCGGAGUCACCUUCCUCCUCCCUGUCAUUCAAUUCCCACACUCUGUUUUAUCUCCUCUCCUCAGCUAAUCCCUUCUGAGCCAAAGCUACAACUGUCUGUAUGCCUGAGGUGCUCAAGCUUUCAUCCAUCCUCUACAGAACUGCCCUCUAAAUUCCAAAUUGAUGUGUGGAAGUGUCUGUUUGUAAUCAAGAACAAGGAUGGGUGAUCACCUUUGAUCCUCACAGAGGCAGGAGGACCUCUGACAAUUUGAGCCCAGCCUGGUCCAUAUAGUGAGUUCCAAGACAGCCAGGAGUACAUAGACACCGUCUCAAAUAAAUUAAAUACAUGAGUAAAUAAAUAAAAUAACUAAUUCAAGACUAUUUGAACUCUAGUUUAAACCCAAAGCUGUGAUCUAAGCCCACUUCCCUGGUACUUUUUCUGUUUUUCUCUCAUUGAAUGAUACCAUCACCAGUGGAAACCUGGCGGGUAUGGGAUGACUGUGUGUGUGUAUGGGUGGUAGGGGCACAUGCAUACCCAUAUGUGGCAGUCAAAGGACAACGUUGGGUUAGGAUUUACCACCCACGCUGUUUGAGCCAGGGUUUCUUUGGUUGUUCGCCCCUGCCUAUGCCAGGCUAGCUGGCUUUCCAGCUUCUGUGGAGUCUCUCGACCCAGGAUUACAGAUGUGAGCCAUCCUACCUGCUUUUCAGUGGUUCUGGGGCUGUGAACUCAGGUCCUCACACUUGCAGACCGCGUGCUUCAUCCAGGAGCCCUUCUCUUCCCUAUUGUCUGUCCCUCUUGCCGCAUCCCCUGUAUAGUUCACCACUGUCUUCCCACCUGCACACUAAAGAAAAUAAAAGUGGUUUUUUUUUGUUGUUUUUAAACGAAGGAUUUAAUCAGGGCCCAGAAAGGUAGGCGUGGGAGCAUUGCUGCUGUAGAUAUCCUAGGUACCCGCUGCAAUUGGUGUACCCCUCUCCCUGGUCAGUUUACCAUUCGGCAUCCUCGUCUCCACCCCUUUUUCUCUCUGUGGUCUGAAUAGCUGCAGGAAGUUUCCUAGUCUUCUCCUUUUGGCCUUCUGCCCCUCUUCCAUCCUCCAUGCUGGUUACUCUUCCCCAGCCCCUUACUGCUUAAACCCGUCCUCAGUUUAGUUUUGGGAGAAGAUGAGAUGCUUAACAAGGCGUUAGAGGCUCUUUGUGGUUUUGCGCCUGUUUCCCUCCGCUCACUUUCACUGUCUGUGCUCAGGUUAUAUAAGCCUUUCAAUGCCUUGAAGCUUCAGUUGUCUCUCUUACCACAAGGUCUUUGCUGGGCUCGCUCUUUGUAAUGUUCUGCCCUUAACCAUUUACCUCCUACUCAGAGAACGCUUGGGAAGCCUGUGAUCUCAGGCUGUAAGUUGUGAUACUUUGUUACAUCGUCUUGAAGACCUGUGUUCCUCUCUUAGAGCUUUGUCUAUUUCUCACUGUGACUCUAUCAUAUUAGUAUGCUGUAUCCUGUGUGUUGGCACAUGCCUGUAAUGCCAAUGCUUGGGAGCCAGAGGCAGGAGGAUCACUGUAUGUUUGAGGCCAGCCUGGUGUACAUACUGAGUUCUAGGCUGGCCUGAGCCAUAGAAUAAGACCCUAACUCAAAAAUAAAGUGCUAGUGUUAUUAUUUGCCUCCACUUUAUGAGACCGCUCUAGAUAUUUAUGCUAGGUAUUUUACUCAUUACCUGCUUUAUACACUUGUGUUUGCGCAUCAAUUUGGUAGAAAUUUAAAAAGAAUUGUUAAGUGCAAUACAUUUUAGAAAAUUUAAUUCUUUAAAGCACUACUAACAUAUGGAAUUUAUUCUUUUUUUUUUCAAGCACUUAAGGCGCAAAGGUGAAAAUAUAUUAUUGCUUUUGCAUCUGUUUGCUUACAUACGAGCAUGCGCGUCUAUGCCGUAGCACAUGGGUGGAGCUCGAGGACAACUUGUGCAGUGAGGUCUUUCCUUCUACCAUGUGGGCUCAGGGCUUGGGUUCCGGAUGCCGGACUUGGUGCCUUUACUUGCUAAACUGUCUCACCUGUCCAAAGGUAUAUAAUGUUGCUAUAGAAAGAUGGUUAAUUGACAGAAGAGUGAGCCCUUAGAUACGCUCGUAUUUGUAGUACACCAAACACUUGCUGUAAUGCUGGUUAUUUUUUUCUUUGUUUUUGAGACGGUCUCCCAGUAUAGCCCAGGCUGGCCUGGAGUGCACCUUGGAGAAUACACUGACCUAUUCACAGAGAUCUGCCUGCCUGUGCCUCCAAAUACUGGAAUAAAUGCUGUGUACCACUCCCCACAGCCCUGUAGCACAGCUCCUAAACACCCAUACUCUGUGUUGCUGACAUUACACUUAAUAUAAAGCAAAAUGAUCUCAUCAAUGUAAUUUCUGUUUUUGUCCUGAUUAGCAGAGAGGCUGGGCGUUUUUUUUUUCUUGUUGGUCAAUGGAGAGUUCCUCCAUGCAUUAUUGCUUGCGUGUGCACUCUUUAGUUCGGAUAUUCAUAUUUUCUUUUUAUUUGUAUAGUUUUCCCUUUUGAGGGGGGCAGGACUUGCUUUAGAUUUGUUAGCUGCAGAUAGUUUCUUUCUUUUUUCUUUUUUUUUUUUUAAAGAUUUAUUUAUUUUAUUUAUAUGAGUACACUGUAGCUGUCUUCAGACAGACCUGAAGAGGGCAUCAGAUCCCAUUACAGAUGGUUGUGAGCCACCACGUGGUUGCUGGGAAUUGAACUCAGGACCUCUGGAAUAGCAGUCAGUGCUCUUAACCGCUGAGCCGUCUCUCCAGCCCUGCAGAUAGCUUUUUGAUGACCAUUUUCUUCAUUUAUUCAUAAUGUCUUAGAUUUAAAUGUCAUUGUUAUAUUUGCCCAUUUUAAGGAAAGCUUCCUUUGAAGUCACGAAGAUCUUAUUUAAGUUUUGUUUGCUUCGCCUAUUUUUUUGUGAUUAAUUUAUGUGUAAGUUAGUUUUGUAUUUGGUGUGAAUUAUGAAGUUAAUUUUAUCCUUCCAUCUGCGAGAACAGUUGUCCCGCUGUGUGUUUGAGUCCAUCCUUUAUCCACACUGAUUUGCGAUGCUCUCUCUGAUUCAAAACCCAUGGCCUGUGUGGAGGUGGGGUUCUAAGCCUGGGCUUUACUCUUCCAUGACUCCCAGGUAUCUCCCGGAGUGUACUUCUUCCUCCUUUUAAAGAUGGCAUCCGUUUGGUUUUGUGUGUACAUGUGUGGUUGGACAUGUGCAGGGCAUGUUUGUAUGUGUGGAGGUGAAAAGUCAAAGGAGUCCACACUCUCCUUCUACUGUGUGGGUCUCGGGGAUGGAACUCUACCUUGGAACCAUCUUUCCCAGCCAGCUGGCUCCUCCUUCUUUUUCCACAUUUUACACUUUCAGCCAUCUCCAUGCUUCUUCUUCUGAAGAGAGUUCCACUCUGUCUCUCUUGCUAUCGACUUUGACCUGCAUUUCCGCCCAUGUUUUAUAAAGAUAGCUACAAAGACUAAUCAAAUUCAGCUAAAUACGUUUUUAAACCGAUUUUAUCUUUUGUGGGGGGCGGGGGGGUUGGUUUUCAGUUUUAAGGCAAAAAGUAUACAGUUUGUCGCCACUUUUAGCUGUGCACAGGAAGCAGAUGACAUGGCAGCAGCUCUUUAGGGACCAUGCAGGGUGUCUCUGUCCUCAGCUCCUUUAGAACAAACUCAGUGGAUCUCACAAAACAGGGGAGAAAAUGGGAAAACCAUUCAGGUAAGAAUAGUGGGCUUUGAGAUCACUGGACCCAUGGAAUGUUUUACAGAGACACCGGUGGGAUUUGCUUUUGUUGUAAAGAGGUCUUAUGUUGAAGCUUAUGAACACAUAAGCUCAUAUGUGACUUGACAACCAAUGUCAGCAUUGUCACCAAGUUCUGGAUCUUCUAAAGAACCUCUUCUUUGGGGAUUUUUUUUUUUUUUUUAAUUAGCUGUCGUUACCAAGACAUGUUCUCCUAAGGAAUGAUACUGAUGAUAUUUUGUGUUAAGAGCGGGUUUAGUUCCCCCUGUUUAGAACAGAGCCUGGAAUGGAUGCAUUACACUCGGUAAGCUAUUGCGGAACAAACCAGCUCCUUUGAAGUAUAGUUCAGAAUUACUGUUAUCUCCUCAACUGAGCCGUCAGAUACUCCUAAGUAAUACUGUUGCUUCUUGUAUUAUCCUAACUGUUCAUAACGUAGAACUAAUGUAAACAACCACUUGGCUCUAAUAUAACUCUUUUUCUCUACCUGUAGAUAAAUUGAGUCUUUUUUUAUUAUUAUUAUUUAGCCUUCAAAUCAGUUUAGAGUGAAUUAAACAAUAUAAGUUUAAUUCGUGUUUGCUAAAUUAAGUGAUGUGGUAUAUUGAGUAUUACUAUAUACACAGUGCUUGUAUUCUAAUGUGUGUGUCUGUGUGUGUGUGUGUGUGUGUGUGAGAAAUAAUUCAAUACAUUUUGAUCAUGGUUUUCCCUCUUCCAGUUCCCCCAGAUCUUCCCCACCCACCCAACCCUACACUCUUUCUUUCUCUAUUUAGAAAAUAAACAGGCAAACAAAAGAAACAAAUCAUAAUUAAAAGAAAAAGGACGCCGGGCAGUGGUGGCGCAGGCCUUUAAUCCCAGCACUUGGGAGGCAGAGGCAGGCGGAUCUCUGAGUUCGAGGCCAGCCUGGGAUACAGAGUGAGUUCCAGAACAGCCAGGGUUACACAGAGAAAACCCUGUCUCC
rnacentral:lncRNA from 1 species